ensembl:processed_transcript 1810059H22Rik RIKEN cDNA 1810059H22 gene
GAGCAGUGCUGGGGAGGUGUGGGACAAUGGCGCUCAUGCCAGGCUCCGUGGAGCAGGACCUCCGCCAACCCCUGCGACAUCCAUAAAACGCUGCCCCCUCCAUCCCCACCCCCACCUCCAACACCCACACACCUGGUCCCCACGUGGAGCUGGCCGUGGGAACCUGGGGGUAGUGAGCCACCAUGUGGGAACCCGAGGACUGCGCAGAACCUUUGCAGAAGCAUAAGCCCAGCACCUCGGGGUGCCAGACUGUGCAGAGGACCCUUCUUUGUCACGUGAUUCCCAGACGCGGGUGCAAAUCUUUCUGAGGACUGCGUACGUGCUUCUCUGCGUGAGGGAGUGGGGAAUGCUGGGCUCAUCCUCUGGAACCCAGAAGGCCUAGCUUCUAGAACCGCUGCUGACAGGUGUCUGCGGAGGAGGCUCCCCAUCUGCUGGACCAACCGCCGGCUUCCUUCCUCUCCCCAGGACUGAGUCACUGGAGCAUCUAUCUGCACGCUGCGGUUUCGACUUUCCCCCAAGUGCAUAGCGGUAUGUCAUCUGAGAGGCAGAAGUCAGGCUGCCCCUGGUGCCAAGACAGAGGCUGAGGUGACAUGCGUUGUCCCCGGCAGCCUCGCUGCUUACAACCUCUUGAGAGGACAGAGGGACCUGUCAGGCAUCAGCCUGGUGGAGAAAUUCCUCUGAUUUCCACAGCCUGAAUAUUACUCUCCUGUGCGGCAGAAGAGUUUCGUUUCACUGUUUCUAUGUUUAUUUAUUUUUAAUCCAAAUACAUAGAGGUAGCUUU